GCUGUAGCUUCCCCCGGCAUCCCCAAGCCGUUGCAGUAGUGGCGUGUUGGGGUUCAUCGGCGAACAUCCCCCAACGGCGCUCAUGCUCGAAGGGGGCUUGCCAUGUUCAACCCCAUCUCCGGCGAUUGGCUCCUCGCCCACAUCAGCCGCGUGGUCCUCGACGACGACGCCCUCGCGCUCCUCCUCCUCCUCCGCCUCGACAAGACUCUCUCCAGCCUCUCGCUCCACCUCCUCGCACACUCCUGCAGCAAAUGAAAAAUUCUCAGGCGUCAACAGCAUGCCAGAAAGAUUGAGGCUGUCUUUUAUAUGUGUGGGCAUGCAGUUGCUACUUUGAGGUGGCAGUUUUCUGCUAUAAAUUGCAGCUGAAGCAUGGAAUGUCUUACCAGUGGAUGGUAACGUUGUGAGAUGCAUGGUUGACGACCUUGACAAGAACAUUAUCGCCUUCCCUUGCAUAGAGGGUCGGCCCCGGGAACUUGCCAUUAACAGUGAGGAUGGACUUGGUUGAGCAAAGCCGUGUCAUGUUCCUCAUAACCACCUGCACGAGUGAAACCAUGGUAAACCAUCACGGCAGCCUGAGUUCUGUAGCCGCCUCAUGGUGUAAGGGUGGCCGUUUUGUCUUUUUUUAUUGGCGCUGGGCCAGAUUGGUUUUCACAGUAUUAUGUUGCAUCAGAAAGGAAAAUGACAUUUCGAAAUUAUGGCAAAGAAAGCAUUGUACUCCAUAUCGGGUUGUGUAAAGAGUGGUGCAAUGCUAUACGACCCUGGCUACAUGCAGAAAAGAGUCAUUAGCUAUUUAUUGCUCCUCCGUGUCGGGUGAUGGCAUGGACGCUGAGAGCCUGAAGCAGGAAGCAGCUGGCCAUGAGGGGGAGGAGCAGCUGAUCAAGACGGCGAGGCAUGGCCAUGCUGCCUGGCACUGGCAGAGCUACCUGAUCGGAGGAGACAAGGACGAACGACGAUGCCUGUGAGUCGAGACAGUGCAGUAUGCCUGGUUGCAUGGAAUGACAGGCCGGGCGACGCAUGGUUUUAAUGGCCCAGGGAGGGGGCUGGGGCGGUGUUGGGUUUCUAGCUGCCAUGUCGUUUUUCAUUUUAGGUGAGAAACCCUUGCUUGGCAAGGCUGGCUAGCUGUGCUGGGAAUUGUGCAGAUUGCAGGUAAUUUCUUCUUGUGUUUUCACCUGCAGAUAUGCAAAGGUAGCUCCCAGUUGCACCCAGCUAACUCCUUUACAUACUAGUACAAAUGAGUAGCCAUCUGCAGGACUUGCAGUGCAUCUACCUUUAUCGAUUUGGAGUUUGGUUCCACGUACCUGUCUCUGCUCACUGGGAAGAGCACUUGUGCUGUUAACCAGCCAGUGCUGUAGCUAGUACGGGUGUCGGUUAAUAGCCAUCAAUCUUUAAGUAACUUGCAGUCCACUUCCAUGUAGUACAACGUAUGUAUGUUAUGUAGUACAAGCAACCCAAAGCUGCAUGCACUGAGCCUUAUAGCCUAGCACUAGCGCAGGCAGAAUAAACACGGCUCCUCGGUUAAUUUAGUGGUC